rnacentral:rRNA from 1 species
CCUACGGGUGGCAGCAGUGAGGGAUAUUGGACAAUGGGGGAAACCCUGAACCAGCAACGCCGCGUGAGGGAAGACGGUUUUCGGAUUGUAAACCUCUGUCCUCUGUGAAGAUAAUGACGGUAGCAGAUGAGUAAGCACCGGCUAAGAACGUACCAGCAGCCGCGGUAAUACGUAGGGAGCAAGCGUUGUUCGGAUUUACUGGGUGUAAAGGGUGCGGAGGCGGCCAUGCAGGUCAGAAGUGAAAUGCAUGGGCUUAACCCGUGAACUGCUUUUGAAACUGUGGAGCUGGAGUGAAGGAGAGGCAGGCGGAAUUCCCGGUGUAGCGGUGAAAUGCGUAGAGAUCGGGAGGAACACCAGUGGCGAAGGCGGCCUGCUGGGCUUUAACUGACGCUGAGGCACGAAAGCGUGGGUAGCAAACAGGAUUAGAUACCCGGGUAGUC